rnacentral:lncRNA from 1 species
GGAAGGUGUGUGUAAAGUAAGAUGUCUCUUAAAGACUAUUUCAAAUAAGACCCCAAGGAGUGGGUCAGUUUUAUAAGGAAAGAGAGGAGUAAGAUCUUGCGUGUCUGGACAGGGAGCACAGCAUACGUGAAACUCUUGAAAUAGACAGUGUGCUUGCGGUGAUGGAAGAGUUGCAGGCCAGAGGGAGAGGCAGACAGCAGAUGGCCAAGUCAACAGGCCCCUGUAGGCUGAAGUGAAGCAUGUAAGAAUCUGUUAGACUUAAGAUGUGAGAGAGAGUGUGAGUGUAUGUGUGUAGGGGACAACGUUAUCUCCAAUAAAAACGACACAGAGCUGUGCGGAUCUGGAUCAGAGGUGCCAAGGCAGGGCCACGGAGGGACAAGUAAGGGAGCUGUUGCUAGAAUCAUGUAAAGAACUGGACACUGCGGGAAACUGGGCAUCCAGGAGAUACAGUCAAAACGGUGCUCGAAGGCAUGUCACCAAGCAACAGACUAGAUAAAGAAGGAGACUGGGAAUGACAGCACUGUGAGCCACAUCAGCAAGCAAAUACUGCAGGACACUGGAGGGGUAAGAGGUCUGCCCCCAGGUGGCUGAAAACAACUGUGUCCCUCAUCUGCAUCUCUCCAUUGGAUGCAUUUGUGCGCAGUCAUCCACGCCACUCUGGUCUCUCUCUUUUUCGGCUCAUAAUGUAGGUGACAGGGCUGGCAUCUCAGAACAACUCUUACCUGUGCUCUGUGCUAGACUGUGGUGUUUCUCACCCUCAGCACCAGUGACAUGCGGGGCUGGGUCAUUCUUUGCAGUGGGGGCUGUCCCCCACAAUGUGGAGUCAUUGGAGGAUGUUUAGCAGCAUCUCUGGCCUCUACUGAGUGGAUGCCAGUAGCAUCCCCACAAUUGUGACGAAAUGUUGUGAUAUUACCAAAUGUUCUCAGGGGAGCAAAAUCACCCCUGGUGAGAACCUGGAUGAAUAGUAUGGAUCCCCAUCCUAUUCUGUGGCAUUUUUCUCCAUCAACCUGGAAGCUCAUAGCCUCUCAUUCAACUGGACGAAGACUUGUUGAGUGCCACCCUUUGAGGGACUGCAGGUCUCCUUCUCAACCUAAUGACAAGACAUAGAUGGCCAUCUCUGCUAUUUAUUCACUUUUCCCGUGGUCUCUGCUCCAUGAAGAUGCAAGCGUCUCUCCCAUGGAAGACAGCAGAGGGACACUGCCCCUCCUCUGGCAUUUUAAACCUGCAUUGAAUAGUUUGUCAGGUUUUGUUUAG